UACGAAGGGUGCAAGCGUUGCUCGGAAUUAUUGGGCGUAAAGGGUUGGUAGGUGGGCUUGUUUGUCUAAGGUGAAAUCCCAUGGCUUAACUGUGGAAGUGCCUUAGAAACGGCAAGACUAGAGUCCUAGAGGGGUUUGUGGAAUUCCCGGUGUAGCGGUGAAAUGCGUAGAGAUCGGGAGGAACACCAGCGGCGAAGGCGGCAAACUGGAUAGGCACUGACACUCAACAACGAAAGCGUGGGGAGCAAACAGG
rnacentral:rRNA from 1 species